rnacentral:lncRNA from 1 species
AUGCCUUGCGCGCCGCGGGCCCAGAGACGUGAGGCUGUCGGCGUCCUGGUGGCCCCGCCUCGUGUCCCCCCCCGGACCCCACGCCGCGGGAGCUUGGGGGUUGCGGUCUUCUCUUCCUCCGACCUCACCUUCGAUGCGGAAGCGCAGGGGCAGGUGCGCCGCCCUCGGCCCGCGCAGGCGGUGGGCCCGUCUGGGGCAAGGCGCCCGGAAGCGCCUGGUUGGUUCAGAAAAUCGGACCGCAGCGGGAGGGCGGGCACCGGCGCGUGGUCUCAGUGGCCCCAGGCGAACCCUGAUGAGCAGCAGCCGCAAGUGGCUUACUAAAGGAGCCACUUUCUACGUUUGUCUGGAAUUUACGUGAAUUAAGCUGGCGGGCGGGCGGCCAGGCCUGUAGUCUCAGCACUUUGGGAGGCUCAGCACUUCGGGAGGCUGUGGCGGGCGGAUCACCUGAGCCUGGGAGUUGGAGACCAGCCUGCGCAACGUAGCAAGACCCUAUCUCUAAAACAGAUUCAUUAAUACUUAGCCAGGCGCGGUGGCUGAGGUCCCAGCUACUCGGCAGGCCCAGGCUGGCCUGAGCCAGACCGCUCUGGACUGUUUUAAUUUUUUCAGCCUUAAUACCUGCCAGAAUUUUUUUUUUACUAUGUAUCUUUGUCCUUACGUAUAUAAAUUUUAUAUACAAUUGAGAUUAUCCUGUAUUUGCUUUUCCCCCCUCACUUUUAUAUGGUGACUUUUCUCAUGUUAGGCUGAAUACUAACAUUUUGGAAACUGUCGGCCUGAAAACGAGCGGAGACACAGUUUCUCUAAGUAGAGAGUUUAUUUGGGCCACACUUGAGCACAAAUUCAAGGCGCCCUGAAUGUGUACUCCGAUUAGCAGUUAACAGUGGAUUUUAAAGGCAAAAAAGGGGGCCAGGGAGUGGACUAAUAGGAACUUGUUUGUGAGGAAUUCUCACUGGUUUACAGAAAUAACAUUGAUUAGUGACUGACUAUAUGUUGUUCAGCUAUUGAGUGUGGGUAUAGUGUCCAUUGUGGCGUCAUUAGGUUAAUUUAUAGCUGUUUGUGGCGCUGUUGCCACCAGUAGCAGUUUAAAGAGGUGAACACAGGUCAAGGGGUAGUAGGGCGCGAUUGUCGCCUCAUUUGAAUGUCUCUCUCGGCCUGAUAAUUAAAAGAACUCGCGUUCCUCAGAUAAAAAUUCUCUUUUCUCAAAACCAUUUAAAUGUGGUAAUUAGAAUGGCCCAGAAGGGGCACAGUGCCUUUUAGCCCUCGCCAUUACUUGCUCUUAGGAGUGCAUUUUUUGUAGCUGUGGGUUUUUGACUAUCUCUGCUGCUUUCUCCAGCCCCUACCCUCGUGACUACAAGGGAAAACGUGCGGUGCUCACGAGAGAGCCUUUAUGGGAUUUUUAAAAAAUGGGGAUUGUGGGAAAAUGGCUCCAGCAGUCACAGUUUUUCAGUUUCUCACAAUCCCAUAAAAACAGAGCAACCAGGUAACAAAACUAAAGCAUGGGCAACAUUUACAGACCACUGGAUGGUGAAGAAUUCCCAUGAACCCCUGGUUCACACUGUAAGGACACACUACUCAGCAUGGGCAACAUUUACAGACUACUGGAUGGUGAAGAAUUCCCAUGAACCCCUGGUUCACACUGUAAGGACAGACUACUCAGCAUGGGCAACAUUUACAGACCACUGGAUGAUGAAGAAUUCCCAUGAACUCCUGGUUCCAACUGUAAGGACACACUACUCAGCUGUAGCCUGAAGCCGCCUCCUUACAUACUGUAAGUUUAGCCUAUAGGUUUCUCCAUACGUAGUGAACAGUCAUCUAAUUGGAUGUGUGGACACUGUAACCUACUCUUGAAUCAGUCACAGGCAGCAGCACUUCAAACUCUGUUUCAAUAAGCCAGACACGAGCUGUAGCCACCCUGCUGUUUGCAGGCCUCACCUCUGCCUUCUGUGCCUCACUCCCUUUUCUGUCCGUAAGUCUUUGGCCACACAGUGGCACUGGAGUCUCUCUGAGCCUAUUCUGGUUUGAGGGGUUCCCUGAUUCCUGAAUCAUUCUUUGCUCAAUUAAACUCUGUAAAAUUUAAUGUUUCUAAAGUUUUCCUUUGAACACUACCAACAGCGCAAGCCCAGGGUGAUGUCGGGGCCUGCGAGAGAGAAAGUAGGGGGGCCAAGGGCUCCACACUCACUGUGUGAACAGGUUUGUCUCAAAGGUUGUUGAUAUGUAUCAGCAUUCCCUAUUUGAACCUGUUCCCACCAGCAGUAUGUGAACUUUGGUUUGAAAAAAUAAUUCUGUAAAAUGGGAAGAACCGUGUGUUAUGUAUGGACUUUGAAAUACAGACCUCGAUGGAACUGACAGACUGAUCUAGGUAGACAGAUGUAGACAUCCCUAGGUGAUUACAACUCCAACCUGGAUAGAUGCCAUGUAGUCUUCCAAUUAGAGAUGCUAUACAGCCAAUGAAACUUAACCAUGUCUUUAAUAGGUGUGCCACCUUUUGUUAAAAUCAGUUAUCUUACAAGUAUCAUGAGAAAAAACAUUAGUAUCAACAGAUUGAAACAUUUAUUGGGAAGAAAGUGAGGCCACAGUCAGGAAAAAUAGCAUAAGCCACAACCUCUUAGUCAAGAAUCUUAGAAACAGCUGUGUUUCGUGUGUUUCAGAACUCUGAAUUGUUCUGAUUUUAGGAAAGUGACGUGUGCAUAUUCCACUUGGGGCCUGGGGCAACACCCUCAUCAAACUGAUAUUCCUGCAGCAAAAUACAAGCAGGACGAAAAGGAUCAUGGGUCGUCUCGUGCCAAAUCAGGUUAGACUUUCCGCCAAAUGAAGUACACAAAACUUUCCAUGUUUAGGACUAUGAAUUUGGGCCAGGCACUGUGACUCAUGCCUGUAAUCCCAGCACUUUGAGAGGCUGAGACAGGUGGAUCACUUGAGCCCGGGAGUUCAAGACCAACCUGGGCAACAUAGUGAGACCUCAUUUCUACAAAAAAUUAGCUGAGUGUGGUGGUGUGCACCUGUCUGGAGUCCCAGCUACUCAGGAGGCUGAGGUGGGAGGAUCCAUUGAGCCUAGGAGGUCAAGGCUGCAGUGAGCUGUGAUUGCACCACUGUCCUCCAGUCUGAGCAACAGAGCGAGACCCUGUCUUAAAAAAAAUGGAUACUGGGGCCACAGAUAAGAGGUAUGGGACUGUAAUGCAGUCACCUUUACGUAGUGGCUCAGGGGAAAAGGAGGAAUCCCAGUCCCCAGAAUUCUAGUUUUAUCUACGUCACGGGUGGUUUUGGUGAAACCUGGAAGGAUUCUGUGGUCACUUUUCCUCACUGAUGUAUGUUUCCUCCAAACUCAACUGUGUCAUUUGAUUAGCAUGCAAGGGUCUGUGCUAGCAAGGCCAGAACAAAAGGAGGUUAAGGGGAAGGACAGCAGUUGUAGGAAUAGAAUAUGGCCUUGGGGAGUCCAAGAUCUCCUGGGCCUGGGUAUCUGUGUGUGAACAUCAUCUGCACGUAUGUGACUAUGCUUGGGGCCCUUUAACUGUUGCACAGGCCAACAUGUGGCCCCCAAGACCCUUAUCUGACACCUUAUGUGAAAACUCAGUGGAUUAAAGACUAAACAAGAAAUAAAGGUAUACAAUUUCUAGAAGAAAACGGGAAAAAUUUAUGACAUUGGAUUUAGCAGUGAUUUAUUGGAUAUGACACCAAAGACACGGGCAACAAAAGUAAAACUAAGACGACAUCAGGCUUAGAAACUUCUGUGCAUCGAAGGACACAAUCAACCUUUCCCUUCUGUGCAGGGAAAAGGUAACCUGUGGAAUGUGAGAAAAUAUCUGCAAAUCAUAUAUCUGAUAAGGGGUUAAUAUCUGGAAUAUAUAGACAACCACCACUCAACAGUAAAACAAGUCACCUCAUUUAAAAAU